GGAGAUCCAGGAUGAGGCAAUGGAAGGCUGUUGGAGUUCGAAACCUUGUUUACAAUGGUGGAGAUCCGAGUUUUAUAAUUAUAAUAAAUGUUACUGUCCAUAAACAGGAACGUUUGCACCUUUAAUCCAGAACCAACUCUGUCCACCUGAAGUGACGGAUACUUACCACCAAUCUGAGCUGGGAUCUGCUCAGGCAUAACUCAUGGCUUGCCGACAGCCAUGGCCUUCCAUUGUUCUCAGAACCAAUUAAAAGCAGCUUGCAGAGAGAAAGGCUGCCUCAUCUGAUAUCAUCCGUCAUGGUAAACAUUACCUGCGCUGUACCACUGAACGCCACUGUAUCUGAGCCGGGGAACUGAUGACUGCGUCUCCAGAAGACGUUUUGUUCCCACCGCCGCAUACAACGGGACAAAAAGGAAGAAUAAACAGCAUUCAACAGCCGCCAAUUAGCCAGAUUUGACGUGUUUGUUGGGGUUUUUGAUGACAACGUUGAUGGAUUAAACGUGGCGCAUUAGUGCGGCGGUGCGUCUCCGUUGGUGUUUAAUGGGUUGUAAAAGCAGAGUGGAGAUCUAUCUCUUCACACCAGAACCAGAGCAGAAUAUUAAUAACUCUGUUAGAAUCUGUGGCACAUUCGCCUCCGCCUUCUCAAGCAUGAAUGAUUUAGAAGUGAGGGAAAAAUAUAUGCAUGUAACCUUGUAC